rnacentral:rRNA from 1 species
CGUAGUGGCGGACGGGUGAGUAACGCGUGGGUAACCUGCCUUACACAGGGGGAUAACACCUGGAAACAGGUGCUAAUACCGCAUAAGCGCACAGGGCCGCAUGGCCCGGUGUGAAAAACUCCGGUGGUGUAAGAUGGACCCGCGUCUGAUUAGCUUGUUGGCGGGGUAGAGGCCCACCAAGGCGACGAUCAGUAGCCGGCCUGAGAGGGUGGACGGCCACAUUGGGACUGAGACACGGCCCAAACUCCUACGGGAGGCAGCAG